ensembl:snRNA U2 U2 spliceosomal RNA
AUUGCUUCUCAGCCUUUUGGCUAAGAUCAAGUGUAGUAUCUGUUCUUAUCAGUUUAAUAAUAAAUGGUAGCAAUAAUAACUUCUCACCCUCA